CUGAGGUUAAGAGAGACAUCCAUGGAAAAACAGUAGAGGAAAUAUUUGUCCCUUUGAUUUUAUUUGCCUCUUAGAUGGCUUGCUGGUUCCUUGGCUACUGUUGGGAGCUCCAUAGUAGCCAGGAUUCAAGAGUGAUUCAGCUCUUCAGGCUAUAUCAAAGAGCAUUUUCUUACUUAGUUGCUUUCCCCUCUUUGCAUACAUACCCAAUUGCAUUACUUUCUUUCUAAGAAAUAAAAAAAAGCCUGCUGCUUUCUAUUACUUGGUUAACUUUGCAGAGUCAAGCUUACCUGGACAGGCUCUGUUCCUCCUGUCUACCUACAGUGUGGCCUGUAAAUCCCACUUGGCUGCUCCUGUGCCAGCUCGGUAACAGUGAUGGGGAUGCACAGGUGUCACGGCACAGCGGUGUGGUCCCCAGGCUGUCCUGGAACAUCCCUGGGCCUCCAGUCCCUUGAUUGCUCCUGAUUUAUGCACCACAGAGAGGAACGUGGUUUGGCUCAGAGGGAGCAGGAAUGGCGACUGAAGGAAAAAGGACUUCUCACUAAUGGCCAAUCUAAAGGAUUAGGACCGGGAUCAGAACAGCUGGAGAAUGAGAAGGACGAUGCAUCGCAAGUGUCCUCAACAAGCAACGAUGUUAGCUCUUCAGAUUUUGAAGAAGGGCCCUCAAGAAAAAGGAUUCAAGCCAAUCUCUUGCAGCAAAUAUGCUAAAAAUGUAGGCAGAGCCUGGGAGGUGUCUCCUGUGUGAAGUAAGAACCAAAACAGGUUGUCUGAAAAGCGCCAUUUGAAAGAGAGAAACGGAAAAUGCUCUCUCAACCUUUUUCCUCCAAACCCCCCUCGUCCUAGUCCUGAGCCAAAAUGAACCGUAAAAUAAAGAUCUCUUA
rnacentral:lncRNA from 1 species